rnacentral:rRNA from 1 species
GUAGGUGGCAAGCGUUGUCCGGAAUUAUUGGGCGUAAAGCGCGCGCAGGCCGGGUUUUUUAAGUCUGAUGUGAAAGCCCACGGCUCAACCGUGGAGGGUCAUUGGAAACUGGAGAACUUGAGUACAGAAGAGGAAAGCGGAAUUCCACGUGUAGCGGUGAAAUGCGUAGAGAUGUGGAGGAACACCAGUGGCGAAGGCGGCUUUCUGGUCUGUAACUGACGCUGAGGCGCGAAAGCGUGGGGAGCAAACAGGAUUAGAUACCCUGGUAGUCCACGCCGUAAACGAUGAGUGCUAAGUGUUAGGGGGUUUCCGCCCCUUAGUGCUGCAGCUAACGCAUUAAGCACUCCGCCUGGGGAGUACGGCCGCAAAGGCUG